rnacentral:rRNA from 1 species
UACGUAGGGGGCGGGCGUUGUCCGGAGUUACUGGGCGUAAAGGGCAUGCAGGCGGUCCGACACGCUUUGUGUGACAGCGGGUGGCUUAACUACCCGAGGAUACGAAAGACGGUAGGACUUGAGGACUCGAGAGGGACACGGAAUUCCGGGUGGAGUGGUGAAAUGCGUAGAGAUCCGGAGGAACACCGAAGGCGAAGGCAGUGUCCUGGCGAGUGACUGACGCUGAGGUGCGAAAGCCAGGGAGCAAACGGG